GUGCCAGCAGCCGCGGUAAUACGUAGGUGGCAAGCGUUAUCCGGAAUUAUUGGGCGUAAGGCGCGCGUAGGCGGUUUUCUAAGUCUGAUGUGAAAGCCCACGGCUCAACCGUGGAGGGUCAUUGGAAACUGGAAAACUUGAGUGCAGAAGAGGAAAGUGGAGUUCCAUGUGUAGCGGUGAAAUGCGCAGAGAUAUGGAGGAACACCAGUGGCGAAGGCGACUUUCUGGUCUGUAACUGACGCUGAUGUGCGAAAGCGUGGGGAUCAAACAGGAUUAG
rnacentral:rRNA from 1 species